rnacentral:lncRNA from 1 species
AGUUUUACUCUCAAAGGUGAAAAGCUUUAUUUGAGACUAAAAAUGCUACAUUUGGAGUACUAUGUGAUGGCUUCCUUUCAGUCAUUUUUACCCUUCCUUUUAGGUGACCCCCAUCUUUGGACAGUACCCACCUUGAGUAGGGACUGCCAACUGCUCUGCUCAUUGGGUAGCCAGACCAAGAAAACCAGUUUGACAGCAACAGAACAUGUGCUCAAAGUAAGCCUCCUUCCUGUGUAUGCAAACGAUGACAUGCUCAGCACGCGUCCUCUACAAAGGGAUUUCCUGGAGGAAGGAGAGAAUCAUGCAGCAAUUUUGCUUUGAUGGCAUAAAAACUUUAACAGCACAUUUGAGAGACUGAGUUGGUUCAUCCUGGUCUACAGACAGAUGCCAGAGAACAUAGAGACUCUGCAUCAGUGUUUCUGGGUUAGAGCCCAGUAGCUUAUUUUAUUAAGGUUUCUAUAAUGAUUUUUUUCAUCAAAGAUACAGAGCCCCCCCCCAAAGACAACUUCCAUACUAACUUUUCAUAUUCAGAUUUAUCACCUUACUCCAAACUCUAAAAAGUUCCACAUCUGAAUUCAGCACAUUAAAAAUAACAAUGCUUUAAUAAAGGUGUUAUGCUAAUUUUACAUGUCAGCUUGACAAAGCCACUGAAUACUGGGAGGGCUCAUUAGUCUCAUUAGUCUCAUUCCUUGGUGUGGGUGUCAAGGUGUUUGUGGAAAGAUUAGUUUGAUAUUGGUAGGUUGAGUAAAAGAGGCAUCCUUUCCCACCGUGGGAGGAAGGCACCACAGUGGGUGCUUGGAAUAAGUGUACGGACGAGUGCUGACUUUGCUCUCAGACUUUCAGCCUAUGCUGGAGCAGAAACCUCCAGGUAUAUUCUCAGGGAUCCACACUGUAGCAGCACACAUACAGGUCUCUAGCCUCCAGAGGGAAGCUCACUGGACGUUUGCAGCUUCCAUAAUGAUUAGCGCAAAUGUCUUAUGCUACGUAUGAUUUCUACCUAUCUUCUGCUAGUUCUCCUUAUCUGGAAACACCAGACUAGCACAAAAUUGAAUGCUUCUAUGAUGUGGACAUUUUGCAUAAUGUGUUCUGUUAGAUUCAUGCGGUGUGCAGACCAGUUUCCUAACUACACUUGAAAACCAUAUCGUUUCUUCACUUCUCCUGUCUAAUCUUGAGUUUGGUCCACUUCUAUGCUUACUUUAGAACUUCUUCUUGAACAAAGAACCCCUCAAGUUCCCACAUUAUGAAAAUUCCACCAAGAAAAGAAGUCAGAGAAGCACAGAACAUUGGUCAAGUGACAUCAUGGUCUUGACACUGUACUCUGAGAUAACACAGAACUGGGGACAUGCUUCUGUUGCUCAAAGACCACGCAUUAUACUAACUGGUUGUCAUUUCUGUAAUCAUUUUCUCUGAGUGCACUUGUCUGAUGAGUGACAAUUUAUUUUAAGGUUUAGUCACCUUAUCCAUACACAAAUGCCACAUACACAAAGGCCAUGUUUAGCAACAGAUCAGCCAGUGGCUCCUCAUUUAACUCUCCCUUACUUUUGUUCACUGGGUAUUUCAACAAAGCAUAUACUUGAGUGUGACUGUGGGACUUGGUGUGUCUAUAUGUACAAGUGUGAAUGUAAUUCUCACAGUCUAUUAGCUUAAAUUUUAAGCUUAGUAAUAGAGAGAAAUGGGGCAUGGCACUAGACAGUUUCAGCACUGUUCAAAAAAUACAUGUCUUGUCACUGCAUAUCUCAAUUGCAUGUCACAGAGAAUCCUAUACUUGAGAGAAAAAUGGGAGACAGUCUAACUCAAAAUCUUAUAAAAUUUCUCAUGUUACAAAAAUAAAAGGCUUUAAUCCCCAAGUUUUAAAUUUCAAGUUUUAAAUUCUCAAGAUGUUCUUUUGAGUACUACUCAGCUAUUAAAAACAAUGAAUUUAUGAAAUUCUUGGACAAAUGGAUGUAUCUGAAGGAUAUCAUCCUUAGUGAGGUAACCCAAUCACAAAAGAAGUCAUUAGAUAUGCAAUCACUGAUAAGUGGAUAUUAGCCCACAAACAUAGAACACCCAAGAUACAAUUUGCAAAACACAAGAAAAUCAAGAAGAGGGAAGACCAAUGGGUGGAUACUUCGUUCCUCCUUAAAAUACCCAUGAAAGGAGUUACAGAGACAAAGUUUGGACCUAAGACAAAAGGAUGGACUAUCCAGAGACUACCCCACCCAGGGAUACAUCCCAUAAUCAGCCACCAAACCCAGACACUAUUGCAUAUGCCAGCAAGUUUUUGAUGAAGGGACCCUGGUAUAGCUAUAUGAGGCUAUGCCAGUGCCUGGCAAAUACAAAAGUGGAUGCUCACUAUCAUGUAUAAGACGGAACACAGGGCCCCCAAUGGAGAAGGUAGAGAAAGCACCCAAGGAGCUGAAGGGGUCUGCAACCGUAUAGGAGGAACAACAAUAUGAACUAACCAGUACCCCCAGAGCUCGUGUCUCUAGCUGCAUAUGUAGCAGAAGAUGGCCUAGUUGGCCAUCACUGGGAAGAGAGGCCCCUUGGUAUUGCAAACUUUAUAUGCCCCAGUACAGGGGAACACCAGGGCCAAGAAGUGGGAG